GAUCAUGGCUCAGGAUGAACGCUAGCUACAGGCUUAACACAUGCAAGUCGAGGGGCAGCAUUUUAGUUUGCUUGCAAACUAAAGAUGGCGACCGGCGCACGGGUGAGUAACACGUAUCCAACCUGCCCGAUAACUCAGGGAUAGCCUUUCGAAAGAAAGAUUAAUACCUGAUGGCAUAGGAUUAUCGCAUGAUAAUCCUAUUAAAGAAUUUCGGUUAUCGAUGGGGAUGCGUUCCA
rnacentral:rRNA from 1 species